GAUGAACGCUGGCGGCGUGCCUAAUACAUGCAAGUAGAACGCUGAAGGAAGGAGCUUGCUCUUUCCGGAUGAGUUGCGAACGGGUGAGUAACGCGUAGGUAACCUGCCUGGUAGCGGGGGAUAACUAUUGGAAACGAUAGCUAAUACCGCAUAACAGUAGAUGUUGCAUGAUAUCUACUUAAAAGGUGCAAUUGCACCACUACCAGAUGGACCUGCGUUGUAUUAGCUAGUUGGUGAGGUAACGGCUCACCAAGGCGACGAUACAUAGCCGACCUGAGAGGGUGAUCGGCCACACUGGGAGUGAGACACGCCCCAGACGCCUUCGGGAGGCAGCAGUAGGGAAUCGUCGGCAAUGGACGGAAGUCUGAGCGAGCAACGCCGCGUGAGUGAAGAAGGAUUUCGGAUCGUAAAGCUCUGUUGUAAGAGAAGAACGAGUGUGAGAGUGGAAAGUUCACACUGUGACGGUAUCUUACCAGAAAGGGACGGCUAACUACGUG
rnacentral:rRNA from 1 species